rnacentral:rRNA from 1 species
UGCAAGUCGAGCGGGGGAAGGUAGCUUGCUACCGGACCUAGCGGCGGACGGGUGAGUAAUGCUUAGGAAUCUGCCUAUUAGUGGGGGACAACAUCUCGAAAGGGAUGCUAAUACCGCAUACGUCCUACGGGAGAAAGCAGGGGAUCUUCGGACCUUGCGCUAAUAGAUGAGCCUAAGUCGGAUUAGCUAGUUGGUGGGGUAAAGGCCUACCAAGGCGACGAUCUGUAGCGGGUCUGAGAGGAUGAUCCGCCACACUGGGACUGAGACACGGCCCAGACUCCUACGGGAGGCAGCAGUGGGGAAUAUUGGACAAUGGGGGGAACCCUGAUCCAGCCAUGCCGCGUGUGUGAAGAAGGCCUUAUGGUUGUAAAGCACUUUAAGCGAGGAGGAGGCUACUUUAGUUAAUACCUAGAGAUAGUGGACGUUACUCGCAGAAUAAGCACCGGCUAACUCUGUGCCAGCAGCCGCGGUAAUACAGAGGGUGCGAGCGUUAAUCGGAUUUACUGGGCGUAAAGCGUGCGUAGGCGGCUUAUUAAGUCGGAUGUGAAAUCCCCGAGCUUAACUUGGGAAUUGCAUUCGAUACUGGUGAGCUAGAGUAUGGGAGAGGAUGGUAGAAUUCCAGGUGUAGCGGUGAAAUGCGUAGAGAUCUGGAGGAAUACCGAUGGCGAAGGCAGCCAUCUGGCCUAAUACUGACGCUGAGGUACGAAAGCAUGGGGAGCAAACAGGAUUAGAUACCCUGGUAGUCCAUGCCGUAAACGAUGUCUACUAGCCGUUGGGGCCUUUGAGGCUUUAGUGGCGCAGCUAACGCGAUAAGUAGACCGCCUGGGGAGUACGGUCGCAAGACUAAAACUCAAAUGAAUUGACGGGGGCCCGCACAAGCGGUGGAG